CACGUAGGGCGCAAGCGUUGUCCGGAAUUAUUGGGCGUAAAGAGCUCGUAGGCGGUCUGUUGCGUCCGCUGUGAAAACUCGGGGCUUAACCCCGAGCCUGCAGUGGAUACGGGCAGACUAGAGGUAGGUAGGGGAGAAUGGAAUUCCCGGUGUAGCGGUGAAAUGCGCAGAUAUCGGGAGGAACACCGGUGGCGAAGGCGGCGAUCUGGGUCGAUACUGACGCUGAGGUGCGAAAGCGUCGGGAGCAAACAGG
rnacentral:rRNA from 1 species